GAACCUCACCCGUCCGGUUUUCUGAACCGCGGCGCGCGUGCUUUGGGAUCGCCUCUGGCCUUCCUUAAAUGACUAAGUGGAAAACGUCUCAGUUUCGUGAGCCACUCUAAUGACCAUCUCUAU
rnacentral:misc_RNA from 1 species